rnacentral:rRNA from 1 species
AUGGCGGACUCGCAGGUGGAGGGGCUGCGGAAGGCGUACGCGGCAAUCAUGCUAAAUAUGGCCAAGGAGUCGGCGGCGCGGGUGCUGGCGGCGGAGCGGAGCGUGGCGGUGCUGACCGGAGGGAUUGCGGCGGCCAAGGAGGAUGGCGUCGCGGCUCUCGUCCGGCUGAAGAACAUCAUGGAGGACAGGAUGAAGCAGGUGGAAUUGCAAUCUUUGGCACAUGUUAGAAAGAUCACUGAACUUCAGGAGCAAUUACAUGAUGCUCGAAAUACUGUGACAUCCCUUCAAGUUGAGCUGCAGAGAGCAAAUACCGAAUUGGAGGAGAAACGGAAAACUUUAGCAGAGGAAAGAAUGAAUAUCCUUCCAACCUGUGAUAAGAUUGGUUCAAAUAAAAGCAAGAUCUCUCGUUCUAAGGUGCAUCUCCAAAAUAGAAGUUUGUCAUCAAAGGACAAAAAUACCGUUUGCCGCGUUUCCAGUGACGCCAAAGAAAAUGGAGCUGUUGUAAACAUGGAAAACCUGUAUCAUCGUGGUUCUGAUAUGCCAUCAUUUAUAGCAAGAAAUAAGAAACGUGAGUUGUAUCGUAAUGGGUGUACACAGCGCAUUCGCGCUCUUAGACAGCGGGGUCCUGCUGCAGACUCCUCUAAACAAAGCAGCAAGGAGGCUAGUGCGUCGAAUAACCAUUCGAAGACUGGAAAGAGCGAUAGUGUUAGGAGCACUAGACAGACGAGAUCCACCAUCGAACAGAUACUUCAAACAAAGUUUCUGGCGAACUGCAAGCGCAAGAGAGGUCAACGAAGCAGGCCUGGUUAUAAGCAUGAUAGUUCUGAUGUGCAUGUUAAAACAGAAGAUAAAUCAUCUGGCACCUCUGAUGAAAACGGGUGUUUGCUGCUUCUUCAGGCACUCGAACAUGAUCUUUCACCUCCAAAUUUGUUUUCCGGACAUAGUGGUGAGGGGUUAACUGAUUUGAAGGAUGAUUUGUUGAUGGGUGGGAAGGUUGCUGACUUCAAUUAUUGCAUGGCCUCCCCUGGCCCAAUAGAUGCACAUGCAAUCAGCAACAUGCGAGCGACAAGGAGAAAAAGAUCUAAGAUGGUUAGGGUUUUUGAAGCUGGUUGUUCUGAGUCCAAAAGUGUUCCAGGUAACAAUCUGCUAAGAUCAACCAAUGAGGAUACCAUUUUUGAGAAUGGGCAGAGCUCUGAAAGGAUAGAUGAUCACUCUGAUACAUCUGCCAUAAAUAAUGCUUCCGUUUUAAGUGAUGUGACUAAAAUUCUGAUUCAUUCUAGUGGUGCCAAUAAUGAUCAAUUUCAGUCUGGGGACAGCUCCCCACUAGUAUUUCAGUCAACCAAAAGUCAAGUUGAUGGUGAAGGUGAAUUACGAGCGAAGCAUCCUGACUGCAGAACACCGGAGAAUAAUUCAGCAAAAAAGAAAGAAGUUAAAGUGGAUGAAAGUUGCAAUUUAACUUCAGACAGAGCUGAUCAUUUAAUCAUCAGCUCCUUGGAGAAAGAACAAAGCACGAAAGCAGCAUCCGGUGUUUCCGUGCAACCUGAAGGUGUGAGAUGUAUCAAAUACACAUUCAAUCGCAGGAAACGGAAGAAUGUGUCUUUGAACAGCAGCAGUCUGGUUAGUCUAGCUGACAAACAAGAGUCUCUGGCAAAGCCUGAGACACAAAAUCACUUGGUAGAAUCACCUAAAGCUGACAAACAAGAGUCUCAGGCAAAGCCUGAGACACAAAAUCACUUGGUAGAAUCACCUAAAGGCGACAACCAACUAGCCCAUGUUGCCCAACAGCUCAUUUUGUUGUCAGAGCUGAAGUGGUAA